rnacentral:rRNA from 1 species
AUUGAACGCUGGCGGCAGGCCUAAUACAUGCAAGUCGAACGAGUGGCGGACGGGUGAGUAAUGUCUGGGAAACUGCCUGAUGGAUGGGGAUAACUACUGGAAACGGUAGCUAAUACCGCAUACCAUCGGUUGGGCCCAGAUGGGAUUAGCUUGUAGGUGGGGUAAAGGUACACCUAGGCGACGAUCCCUAGCUGGUAGGAGAGGAUGACGCGCCACACUGGAACGGAGACACGGUCCGGAGUCCUACGGGAGGCAGCAGUGGGGAAUAUUGCACAAUGGGCGCAAGCCUGAUGCAGCCAUGCCGCGUGUAUGAAGAAGGCCUUCGGGUUGUAAAGUACUUUCAGCGGGGAGGCGUUACCCGCAGAAGAAGCACCGGCUAACUCCGUGCCAGCAGCCGCGGUAAUAC